CGGUAACAGGGGGUGCUUGCACCCUGCUGACUAGCGGCGGACGGGUGAGUAAUGCAUAGGCCUCUGCCCAGUAGUUGGGGAUAGCCCGGGGAAACCCGGAUUAAUACCGAAUACGCCCUAAAGGGGAAAGCAGGGGAUCUUCGGACCUUGCGCUAUUGGAUGAGCCUAUGUCGGAUUAGCAAGUUGGUGGGGUAACGGCCUACCAAGGCGACGAUCCGUAGCUGGUCUGAGAGGAUGAUCCCCCACAUCGGGACUGAGACACGGCCCGAACUCCUAAAAAAGGCAGCAGUGGGGAAUAUUAGACAAUGGGGGCAACCCUGAUCCAGCCAUGCCGCGUGUGUGAAGAAGGCAAAAAAGGUUGAAAAGCACUUUCAGUGAGGAGGAAAACCUUAUGGCUAAUACCCAUGAGGCUUGAAAUACACACAGAAGAAGCACCGGCUAACUCCGUGCCAGCAGCCGCGGUAAUACGGAAAAUGCAAGGGUUAAUCGGAAUUACUGGGCGUAAAGCGCGCGUAGGUGGUUCGAUAAGCGAGAUGUGAAUGCCCCGGGCUUAACCUGGGAACGGCAUUUCGAACUGUCGGGCUAGAGUAUGGUAGAGGGAUGGAAUUUCCUGUGUAGCGGUGAAAUGCGUAGAUAUAGGAAGGAACACCAGUGGCGAUAGGCGGCUACCUGGACCAAUACUGACACUGAGGUGGCGAAAGCGUGGGGGAGCAAACAGCAUUAGAUACCCUGGUAGUCACGCCGUAAACGAUGUCAACUAGCCGUUGGGACUCUUGAAGUCUUAGUGGCGCAGCUAACGCACUAAGUUGACCGCCUGGGGAGUACGGCCGCAAGGUUUAAACUCAAAUGAAUUGACGGGGGCCCGCACAAGCGGUGGAGCAUGUGGUUUAAUUCGACCCAACGCGAAGAACCUUACCUGGCCUUGACAUCCUGCGAACUUUCUAGAGAUAGAUUGGUCCCUUCGGGAACGCAGUGACAGGUGCUGCAUGGCCGUCGUCAGCUCGUGCGUGAGAUGUCGUUAAGUCCCGUAACGAGCGCAACCCCUAUCCCUAGUUGCUAGCAGUUCGGCUGAGAUCUCUAGGGAGACUGCCGGUGACAAACCGGAGGAAGGUGGGGAUGACGUCAGGUCAUCAUCGCCCUUACGGCCAGGGCUACACACGUGCUACAAUGGCGCGCACAGAGGCUGCAAACUCCCGAGGGUAAGCCAAUCUCUUAAAACGCGUCGUAGUCCGGAUCGCAGUCUGCAACUCGACAGCGUGAAGUCGGAAUCGCUAGUAAUCGCGAAUCAGAAUGCGCGGUGAAUACGUUCCCGCGCCUUGUACACACCGCCCGUCACACCAUGGGAGUGGAUUGCACCAGAAGUGGUUAGUCUUACCUUCGGGAGGACGAUCACCACGGUGUGGUUCAUGACUGGGGUGAAGU
rnacentral:rRNA from 1 species